GACUCGCAGCCAUUGAGGCAGGGCCUGGAGGAGGCCUGGGCCACCCUCUCCUCUCCAGCUUCUCUGGGGUAGGCGAGCAGACGGACCUGCAGCCCAGGGCCACCAGGCCGAGGUGGGCAGAGGUCUCUCUCAGCCAUGCUGGACCCUCCAGCAGCCUUGAGCAGGCUCUGUGACCAGCCCCAGCAUCUUCCCGCUGAGCCUCCGGAAAAAUGACUCAGGUGACCCUGUGGUCAUCGCCUGCCU